rnacentral:rRNA from 1 species
GACGAACGCUGGCGGCGUGCCUAAUACAUGCAAGUCGAGCGGGCCUCCGGAGGUGCUUGCACCUCCGGAAGGCCAGCGGCGGACGGGUGAGUAACACGUGGGCAACCUGCCUUUGAGGCCGGGAUAACACCGGGAAACCGGUGCUAAUACCGGAUACGUCCUCUUUCGCGCCUGCGAGAGGGGAGAAAGACGGUCUUUAAGGCCGUCGCUCAAAGAGGGGCCCGCGGCGCAUUAGCUGGUUGGUGGGGCAAGGGCCUACCAAGGCGACGAUGCGUUGCCGACCUGAGAGGGUGAUCGGCCACACUGGAGCUGAGACACGGUCCAGACUCCUACGGGAGGCAGCAGUGGGGAAUAUUGGACAAUGGGGGCAACCCUGAUCCAGCCAUGCCGCGUGUGUGAAGAAGGCCUUCGGGUUGUAAAGCACUUUUGUUCGGGAAGAAAAGCCGCCGGUGAAUAUCCGGUGGUGCUGACGGUACCGAAAGAAUAAGCACCGGCUAACUUCGUGCCAGCCGCCGCAGUAAAAC